AUUGUUGAGAGAGGUUGUGAGCCAGAUUUGGUGACAUACAGCGUAAUCAUCGACGCCCUUCGCGAGGAUAUGUUAGUUGUUAAGGCUUUAGACCUCCUCUCAAAUGAGGAAUAAAGCCAUUUCACUUGAUGUUAUCACUUACACCUUCUUAAUUCAGGGUCUUUGCAAUUUAGGCAAGUGGAAUCAAACAUUAGCCUUGUUGAAAGAAAUGG
rnacentral:misc_RNA from 1 species